AUUGAACGCUGGCGGCAUGCCUUACACAUGCAAGUCGAACGGCAGCACGGGAGCAAUCCUGGUGGCGAGUGGCGAACGGGUGAGUAAAGUAUCGGAACGUGCCCAGUCGUGGGGGAUAACGUAGCGAAAGUUACGCUAAUACCGCAUACGAUCUAUGGAUGAAAGCGGGGGAUCGCAAGACCUCGCGCGAUUGGAGCGGCCGAUAUCAGAUUAGGUAGUUGGUGGGGUAAAGGCUCACCAAGCCGACGAUCUGUAGCUGGUCUGAGAGGACGACCAGCCCCACUGGGACUGAGGCACGGCCCAGACUCCUACGGGAGGCAGCAGUGGGGAAUUUUGGACAAUGGGCGAAAGCCUGAUCCAGCCAUGCCGCGUGCAGGAGGAAGGCCUUCGGGUUGUAAACUGCUUUUGUACGGAACGAAAAGGUUUGGCCUAAUAAGCUGAGCUCAUGACGGUACCGUAAGAAUAAGCACCGGCUAACUACGUGCCAGCCGCCGCAGUAA
rnacentral:rRNA from 1 species